UACGUAGGGUGCAAGCGUUAAUCGGAAUUACUGGGCGUAAAGCGUGCGCAGGCGGUUAUGUAAGACAGAUGUGAAAUGCCCGGGCUUAACCUGGGAACUGCAUUUGUGACUGCAUGGCUAGAGUUUGGCAGAGGGGGGUAGAGUUCCACGUGUAGCAGUGAAAUGCGUAGAUAUGUGGAGGAAUACCGAUGGCGAAGGCAGCCCCCUGGGUCAAGACUGACGCUCAUGCACGAAAGCGUGGGGAGCAAACAGG
rnacentral:rRNA from 1 species